rnacentral:rRNA from 1 species
AAUGACUCUCGGCAACGGAUAUCUCGGCUCUYGCAUCGWUGAANWAACGCAGCRAAAUGCGAUACUUGGUGUGAAUUGCAGAAUCCCGUGAACCAUCGAGUCUUUGAACGCAAGUUGCGCCCGAAGCCAUUAGGCCGAGGGCACGUCUGGCUGGGUGUCACACAACG